UACGUAGGGAGCUAGCGUUGUUCGGAAUCACUGGGCGUAAAGCGCACGUAGGCGGCUGUGUCAGUCAGGGGUGAAAUCCCGGAGCUCAACUUCGGAACUGCCUUUGAUACAGCACGUCUUGAGUCCGAUAGAGGUGGGUGGAAUUCCUAGUGUAGAGGUGAAAUUCGUAGAUAUUAGGAAGAACACCGGUGGCGAAGGCGGCCCACUGGAUCGGUACUGACGCUGAGGUGCGAAAGCGUGGGGAGCAAACAGG
rnacentral:rRNA from 1 species